GUGUCAGUAUAGGCCGACCUGUGUUCAUUUUCGGUGUGUUUGUCUCCUCAUUUUCAUGUUUGGCUCUGUAAUGCCUCUGUAACACUGAGGAGGUGCUUUUGUUUGUAAGAAAGCUCCGCAGAACAGAUGCAACAUUUAUCCUGCAUAAAAUGAAAUAAAUAAUUUACACUUCAAGUCACAUUGCUGUUUUUCCUAUUCUGAUAGAUUACACUGAAACAAACAGUUACCUUAUUUGCAGUUAAAAGAUCAAAAUGAUCCCACACAGCAGAAACGUUUCUUUUUCUUUCGGGCUCCAUUUUGUUAUGGAGAGAUGUGUAUUUUUUUUUCUUUGCCAGAGUAAUUUUGUGGGGGGUUUUUUGGUGGCGACUCAUUCCGUUGGCAGAUGCGGAUACGGUACCUUUUAAACACAGUUUGGCGCGUUGGCAAUGAGCGAUACAGCAGCUGUAUCGAUCACGUGACUUUUUCUUAAAGUGACGCACGCACCGAUACAGGCAUCGCUAGACCACACCCACACCCCUCACCACUUUGUAAGCCUGCGGUUGCAUUACUGUGUUGCUGUACUGUGCUGUUAAGCUAAGGAAUCACAGUAAAGACGGUAUAACCUUUAACCGUGCGUCCAGUGUGUUCUGACCGACACCCCAAGGUGAACACCACUGCUAUUCAGCCAACGCCUAUACAGUCCUGGGUUCAACCCAAAUUAACAUAAGUGUGGAAGAACCACUUUCAACCUGAAGUCUGAAGUUACUCGUCCACACAGGACUGUGUGAGUAACCGAGGUGUUUCAGCUUUGAGUUUGUCUUAGGUAACGAGCGAGCAUCAGGCUUUAACGUAUCUUUACACUGCACGACUUUCUGAUUGUUGCUAACUGACGCUGACAUUUUGCAGAGCCUGGAGCCUAAGGGGUUGGAUUCCACUGAAUAUGUUUGUGUGUCGUCACACCCCAGUAAAUCUGAUCUUUGGGAGACGUCUGCAUGCAGAUUUUCAGUGACAGAGUGGGCUGCUGGUGGAGCAUGGUUUCUGUAAGAGCUUGUGUGUCUGGAUGCUGCACACGCUUUAACUCUGUCAAAGUGUGACUGUGUAGCAGAAA